AACGAACGCUGGCGGCAUGCCUAACACAUGCAAGUCGAACGAGACCUUCGGGUCUAGUGGCGCACGGGUGCGUAACGCGUGGGAACCUGCCUUUAGGUUCGGAAUAACUCAGAGAAAUUUGAGCUAAUACCGGAUAAUGUCUUCGGACCAAAGAUUUAUCGCCUUUAGAUGGGCCCGCGUUGGAUUAGCUAGUUGGUGGGGUAAAGGCCUACCAAGGCGACGAUCCAUAGCUGGUCUGAGAGGAUGAUCAGCCACACUGGGACUGAGACACGGCCCAGACUCCUACGGGAGGCAGCAGUGGGGAAUAUUGGACAAUGGGCGAAAGCCUGAUCCAGCAAUGCCGCGUGGGUGAUGAAGGCCUUAGGGGUUGUAAAAGCUCUUUUACCGGGAUGAUAAUGACAGUACCGGGAGAAUAAGCUCCGGCUAACUCCGUGCCAGCAGCCGC
rnacentral:rRNA from 1 species